GGAUGCGAUCAUACCAGCACUAAAGCACCGUAUCCCAUCAAAACUCCAAAGUUAAGCGUGCUUGGGCGAGAGUAGUACUAGGAUGGGUGACCUCCUGGGAAGUCCUCGUGUUGCAUUCC
rnacentral:rRNA from 1 species